UGCAAGGGUAUAUAUUGAGGAGUUCACUGACAGUUAGGAGAGAGGAGCCGGGAGGAGAAGAAAGGGUUGGACGAGUGUAUGGACUCACCCGAGUUCAGCCGCUGCCGUGGCAGAGGGGCGGAAUGGUUGAUUCAAGAUUGUUAGAUGUGUUCCUGUCGUAGACUAGUUCUUGUAUAGUUUUAGGAUCUGUAUUGCUGUUGUUAUUCUGUAGAUGUUUGAUAUUCUGUUCCCGUAUAAACCAUAUAUUUACGAAACCGGUCUACUGUUAUCACUAACAAUAGUGUUACAGUGAUUUGUUAUGGUGGCCGUGACUGAGAACCUGGGAGUUAAUCGCCACAACAGCGUGAAGACCUGGACGAUGAUCACGGGCCAAUGAUUGGAAAUACUCAGUUCAACGAUAUGGAAAUUCGAACUUAAAAGAUGGGUAUGAAGAAAGGACCGAGAAAUCACCCAAAAAAAACAAACUACUAAAGACUUUCAAAUCAAUGGAGGCGGAACUGCGGGGAUCCGAAAAAUGUGUGUGAUUGUUGUUUUACGUUAAUAUGGCAUCAUCUGCCACUGCUAAACCAUCCAUGUGCCUUCUCUGUAAAAAUGCUGAAUUCAAAAGCCGGUCACAAUAUUGGAUACACAUAAAUAGAAAGGAAACGAGGUAGCAAGGUAAAUGUGCAAUAGUGGAAAAGAAGUGUGUGCAGUCUAUGGUGGUGAAGAAAAUUUAAUGUGAGCACAGUGAAAGUCACACAUUGAUAGUGUCCCCACUGCAGCUGAACAUAAAGCGGGUCACCGCGCAGGAGAAGGGAAGUUACUGGGGUUGAACUCAAAUUAAUAUUUUCCCUGUAUUCUGAUGCUAGUUCCGAGGAAGAGGGAAAAGAGGUUGUUCAAGAGAUGCACAAAAAUGUUACGAGUUACAGCGUGCCGCUGAUUGGAAAAAUAGAGAGAAUCACUAUGACGGAAGAGAGGCUGUAAGAUGGGAAAGUUAGAAGAGUGGCUAUCGAAGAGGAGUGGGAGACGGAUGCGAAGAUGUUUCAGGAGGCGAUGGCGUUAUUCCGAGUGAAGCGACUAUAGCGUCAUUCGAGUUGGACAGUACUCAUUGGAUGAAAAGACCACCGCACACGGAAAACACGGAGAUAACCAGUAACGCUGCUAACGUUGCGAUUAACAACUCAUAUGAGUCACUCAACAUUGUGGGUGUCAUCACUGAAAACAAUCACUCUAUGGUGUCCGAGACUGAUUCAUCUUCACAUGACUUAGAUCCAUAUCUCAACCCGUACAAUCCUACAGAUAGGAUUGAAACAGAAAGCGAUAAACACGAGUAUUUACGAUUGAAAAGAUGUACAGCGAAUUGUGACGGUGAAGUAAUCAAUGGGGAUGUUGAGGAAUCAAAUACGGACAGAGAUACACCAUCUUCCCAUGACUCGGAAUCAUAUAUUCACAUGUACAAUCAACCAACUAGAACUGAAACGGAGUCGAGCGAUAAAUACGAUUAUACACAACUGAAACAAUUUACCGCCUCUCAAGAGAGUGACAACGACGAUGGUGGUGUCCAGGAAGCAAGCGAUGGCAGCGAUGACAGAUCAGGAGACGGCAUCGAUUCUUUCAAUUUGUCUACUGACGUUGGUGAUGAUACUGAUCGCAUUAGUACGGAGUCCAUGGAUUUUCGAAUUCAAAAUGAAAUAAACUCCACAUACAUAACUCCAGUAUUUGAAGGAUAUUAACUUUUUCAAAAAAAGUUAGUUUGUAAAGAACAAAACUCUUUGUUGAUCAUGUAGAUUUCGCUCAGUCGAUAAAUGUGGUCUGUUGGUCAAACCCCGGAGGCAAGAAAAAUCAUUCGUUUGCCAAACGACUUUCCCAUUCUAAUUUUUAAAAAUGUGAUUAUAAUAUAGUCUUUAACGCUUCUUUAAAACUGAACUAUUUAGGUUUUAUUGGAUAAUGUAUGUUCAUUAAUAUCCCACAAUUUAAUAUUUAUGGAAGUGGGCGUAACAUGGAUCAUUAUCACCGAAGUCAUUAAUGAACUCGAACGUUUUGCUAAUGCACCAAUAUUGUUAGCACCGCUAUUGUUUUUAUUAAAUCUUGUUUUUUGGGGGUUUUUUUGUAAUAAUAGUAAGAUGUGUAAGGUUAAUGUUUGCAUCAAACUGGAGCUUUGCUAGACACACCCCUUAUAUUACUGUUAAAUUUACAAGAGCAUUUAUUAUUAUAUUUUUUAUUAUUUUUUUUUUGUUAUGUUAGUGAUGUUCGCAGUUUUGUUAGCGAAAUCUUUAUUGU